GACGAACGCUGGCGGCGUGCUUAACACAUGCCAGUCGAACGGAAAGGCCCUGCUUUUGUGGGGUGCUCGAGUGGCGAAAGGGUGAGUAACACGUGAGUAACCUGCCCUUGACUUUGGGAUAACUUCAGGAAACUGGGGCUAAUACCGGAUAGGAGCUCCUGCUGCAUGGUGGGGGUUGGAAAGUUUCGGCGGUUGGGGAUGGACUCGCGGCUUAUCAGCUUGUUGGUGGGGUAGUGGCUUACCAAGGCUUUGACGGGUAGCCGGCCUGGGAGGGUGACCGGCCACAUUGGGACUGAGAUACGGCCCAGACUCCUACGGGAGGCAGCAGUGGGGAAUAUUGCACAAUGGGCGGAAGCCUGAUGCAGCAACGCCGCGUGCGGGAUGACGGCCUUCGGGUUGUAAACCGCUUUCGCCUGUGACGAAGCGUGAGUGACGGUAAUGGGUAAAGAAGCACCGGCUAACUACGUG
rnacentral:rRNA from 1 species